rnacentral:lncRNA from 1 species
CUCAAAACAGAACACUAGAGCUGGAAAUGACCUGAGAACACAGAAUGUUUCAGCUUGAAGGGACAGAAGAGAUCAUUUCAUCCAACUCUCUCUCUCCUCUCAAAUUUUACAAAUGAUAAAGAUAUAUGAAAUGGCCAAGGGCAUCCAAACCACCAGAGCUGAGACCAGAAACCACAUUUCCUAAGUUCCAGUCCUGGACAUUUGUUCCCUAUGUUACCAGGAGGUGAGAAUUGAAUUUGACCAUGAAGAAUGGAUUGUGGUGUCAUUGGAAAGAAUAAUAAUCCCAUGCAAUGAAGAUGGGGUAAACAAAGAAAGAGUUCUAAAAAUGAAGUACUAAGAAGUGAUUCACUACAAAGUGGUGAGGCAAAUGAGACUAUAAGUUAAGGAAGACCCAUAAACUCAUAGACUUUAAAAGCUAGAAGGGACCGAGGACAUCUUCUACUUCAAUCAGCUCAUUUUAAAGAUCCAGCCAUCAAGAACAGAAUUUUACUGACUUGGAGAAUUCAAUAAAGCAGCUGAGGAAGACUUAAAAUAAUAAUGAUGCCGGAUAUUUCUAGAGCCAAAGACCCAGGAGAGCCUGAAGCACCUUUCCCCCGCAAGAGUAAGCUUAAUUGCCACAACAUGCAUGGCCCAGCAGCAAGAUCUUCGAAAGAACAGGGACCCUGCUGCCUGCACAUUGUACUAAUAUUAGUUACCUAUCAGCAGCCCUCCCCCAUCAGGGUCGAUGAAUUUACCCUGUUGCCUGGAGACCGGACUCAAACAGAGACCCAGAGAGAGCACCCAGGCGCUGGAUCCCAAGGGGUUAAGAAGGAAUCCUGGAGUGGAUAACUCCUGGAGCGGAUUACGGAGCUGAGUAACCCCAGCAAAGUGAAGCCUCAGCUAGAGCUGGAAAGACACAACAAGAAGAAGGCAGUGUCUGUGGACCCCCUCCCCAGGCAGGAUUUACCUCCUGUCCCAGUGCUCAGACUGCCUCCUGCUGUA